rnacentral:lncRNA from 1 species
CAAUGAUUAUAUUUUCUUAUUUAUUUAUACAUUAUGUUCAAGAAUAUUAGAUAUAUGCUAUGCCUCAAGAGGUUAUCUAUUAAACUAUAUGAAUCCUCAAUGUUUGUUUCCACGUGGCAAGUUUUUCUUCACCCUCAUUAACAUCUGACUCUUCUUCUUUCCAUCACUAAAUUUUCAAUAUGAUUUUAAGGGUCCCAUUAACUAAACUUUCAAUUAGUGUAUUUAAAUGGUCACACUACCUUCCCUCCACUAUACUUUCAAUUAAUGUAAUAGUUCCACUACCAAACUUUCAAUUAGUAUAUUUAAAUGGUCCUACUACUAUCUAUAAACCUAAAUGAAGCCACAAUACUUUUUGUCACGUGGCAUGUUACCUUUCAUUCUCAAAGCCCAAUUUCACCUCCCCGCUUCUCUAAUUACAUGUAAGGUGCAAUAUUUAAUUACAUCUAUCAUAUUAAUAUUAUAUGGGCUUUAUAACUUUAAUCCACUCCCCUUCUCCAUUAAUCUCCUACCCUUUCUCUUUUGUAACUCUUUUGUAUGUACCAUAAAAAAACUUUUUGCCACAUGACAUGUUACAUUUCAUUUUCAUAGCCCAAUUUUAAAUCAAACCACAUUCUCCUCUUCUCAACGUCCAACUCUUCACCUCCUCACUCCUCUAAUUACAUGCAAGGUGCAACAUUUAAUUACAUGCACCAUAUUAAUAUUCUAUCAAUGAGUGGGUUCUAGCUAUAUAUAUUUUUUUUAACAGUUGAAUUUAGUCAUGCAAAUUGGCUGUACUUAAUAUGGUAUAACUUCCUAUAUAUUAAUAAGCUGUAAAUGUAAAUUUUAUUAACAUUUUUAAAUUUUGCUUCUAUUAUCUACCUGCUGCAUUGCGCGGGUUUCUACACUAGUCUAUAUGAAUCUCCAAUGUUUGUUGCUACGUGACAAGUUUUUCUUCACCCUCAUUAGUAUGUGACUCUUCUUCUUUCCAUCACUAAAUUUUCAAUAUGAUUUUAACGGUCCUAUUAACUGAACUUUCAAUUAGUGCAUUUAAAUGGUUCCACUACCUUCCCUCCACUAUACUUUCAAUUAAUGUAAAUGGUUCCACUACCAAACUUUUAAUUAGUAUAUUUAAAUGGUCCUACUAAUAUCUAUGAUUCUAAUCUCUCUACCUCCAAUUAUUCAUCAUGUUCACUAAAUUUUCAAACUUCAAUUAGCGCAUUUAAAUAGUUCCACUACCUUCCGUCCACUAUACUUUCAAUUAAUGUAAAUGGUUCCAUUACCAAAUUUUCAAUUAGUAUAUUUAAAUAGUCCUACUACUAUCUACGAUCCUAACCUCUCUCUAUCUCCAAUUAUUCAUUAUGGCCUAUUUUCCUCCUUCUACCGAACUUUCAAUUCUUUAUCUCUGAUUUGUUCAUCAAUUCUCUAUCUCUCAUCUUUAGCUAUACACCAUCGCCUCCUUCCCUCGCUCCCCCUCUCUCUCUCACUAAUGUGCGCCCAAUUUCUUCUUCCGCUGCGAUCGGAGAGAUCGUCGUCGCCGUCACUAUC